CAGAGUUGAAAAACUCCCAAACCCUUUGUGAAUCUACCCAUCGUUGCUUCGGCAGGCGGCCCCUGGGAGGGGCUGUAGCCUUUCGAGGUGCCUGCCGGAGGUAUAAAACUCUAUAUCUACUGUAACUUCUGAGCAUAAAUAAAAUAAGUCA
rnacentral:misc_RNA from 1 species